rnacentral:rRNA from 1 species
GAAUUCCGUGAGUCAUCGAAUCUUUGAACGCACAUUGCCGGUCGAGUCUUCGGACGAGACCACAUCUGCCUCAGCGUCGGGAUA